GAUGAACGCUAGCUACAGGCUUAACACAUGCAAGUCGAGGGGAAACGGCAUCGAAAGCUUGCUUUUGAUGGGUGUCGACCGGCGCACGGGUGAGUAACGCGUAUCCAACCUGCCCAUCACUUGGGAAUAACCUUGCGAAAGUAAGACUAAUGCCCAAUGACAUCCCACGAAGGCAUCCGAAUGGGAUUAAAGAUUUAUCGGUGAUGGAUGGGGAUGCGUCUGAUUAGCUUGUUGGCGGGGUGACGGCCCACCAAGGCAACGAUCAGUAGGGGUUCUGAGAGGAAGGUCCCCCACAUUGGAACUGAGACACGGUCCAAACUCCUACGGGAGGCAGCAGUGAGGAAUAUUGGUCAAUGGGCGAGAGCCUGAACCAGCCAAGUAGCGUGCAGGAUGACGGCCCUAUGGGUUGUAAACUGCUUUUAUAAGGGAAUAAAGUGGGUCACGUGUGACUUUUUGCAUGUACCUUAUGAAUAAGGACCGGCUAAUUCCGUG
rnacentral:rRNA from 1 species